GGUUGGCAAUGUAUUUUGCAUGAGAAACGGCUUCCAAGGGACAUAAUAAACUUUCAGCCCAUUUGUCAUAUAUCUUACUCCAGAACGAUUCUGAUAAGCAUGAGUCAUAACUACCACCUUGUGGCCUUCCUUAAUCAAGCAUUGUGAUAAAUAGUAUAUAUGAUUCUCCACACCACCAAAAUUGGGGUAGAAAAAAUCUGAGACCAUUAAAAUUCUAUGUUUUUCCGGUUCACCCAUGAUAACAGAUCAC
rnacentral:misc_RNA from 1 species